rnacentral:rRNA from 1 species
UACGUAGGGUGCGAGCGUUGUCCGGAAUUACUGGGCGUAAAGAGCUCGUAGGUGGUUUGUCGCGUCGUCCGUGAAAACUUGGGGCUUAACCCCAGGCGUGCGGGCGAUACGGGCAGACUUGAGUACUGCAGGGGAGACUGGAAUUCCUGGUGUAGCGGUGAAAUGCGCAGAUAUCAGGAGGAACACCGGUGGCGAAGGCGGGUCUCUGGGCAGUAACUGACGCUGAGGAGCGAAAGCGUGGGUAGCGAACAGG